AUUGAACGCUGGCGGCAGGCCUAACACAUGCAAGUCGAGCGGAUGAAGAGAGCUUGCUCUCUGAUUUAGCGGCGGACGGGUGAGUAAUGCCUAGGAAUCUGCCUGGUAGUGGGGGAUAACGUUCCGAAAGGAACGCUAAUACCGCGUACGUCCUACGGGAGAAAGCAGGGGACCUUCGGGCCUUGCGCUAUCAGAUGAGCCUAGGUCGGAUUAGCUAGUUGGUGAGGUAAUGGCUCACCAAGGCGACGAUCCGUAACUGGUCUGAGAGGAUGAUCAGUCAAACUGGAACGGGGACACGGUCCAGACUCCUACGGGAGGCAGCAGUGGGGAAUAUUGGACAAUGGGCGAAAGCCUGAUCCAGCCAUGCCGCGUGUGUGAAGAAGGUCUUCGGAUUGUAAAGCACUUUAAGUUGGGAGGAAGGGCAGUAAGUUAAUACCUUGCUGUUUUGACGUUACCGACAGAAUAAGCACCGGCUAACUUCGUGCCAGCAGCCGCCGUAAGAC
rnacentral:rRNA from 1 species